rnacentral:lncRNA from 1 species
AAAUAGAUGAUAAGAGUGAAAUUGCGAUAUUACUAGGGUAUCAUCCCACAAAUGCAUACAAGUAGUAGAAUCCAAGAACUAAAUUGUAGAAAAACAUUAGAGGAAAUACAUUGUUCAUUUUUAACAUAAAACAGCACAGAUCCAAUACAACAAGAAGACAUCAUCCAUGAACUUGUGUGACUUUCAUCACUUUAACCAAACCAAUCAGAAGUUAACAAUGGUGGGCUUAAAGUCAAUUAUAAUAACCUUUUCCAAGCUAGGAAGAAACACAUCUGCAAACUCAACAUGUGCAGGAUGAGCCACAUACUCUGCAAUGGCUUCCACACUAUCAAAGGUUGAUUCAAACGCAUGAGUAAAACCUUGGUGCA